CUCGAGUACAUGAAGCUGGAAUCGCUAGUAAUCGCAAAUCAGAAUGUUGCGGUGAAUACGUUCCCGGGCCUUGUACACACCGCCCGUCACACCAUGGGAGUUGGAAGCACCCGAAGCCCAUGUCAAAGUGGUCGAAGGUAGGCUUGAUGAUUGGGGUGAAGUCGUAACAAGGUACC
rnacentral:rRNA from 1 species